rnacentral:rRNA from 1 species
AUUGAACGCUGGCGGCAUGCCUUACACAUGCAAGUCGAACGGCAGCACGGGAGCAAUCCUGGUGGCGAGUGGCGAACGGGUGAGUAAAGUAUCGGAACGUGCCCAGUCGUGGGGGAUAACGUAGCGAAAGUUACGCUAAUACCGCAUACGAUCUAUGGAUGAAAGCGGGGGAUCGCAAGACCUCGCGCGAUUGGAGCGGCCGAUAUCAGAUUAGGUAGUUGGUGGGGUAAAGGCUCACCAAGCCGACGAUCUGUAGCUGGUCUGAGAGGACGACCAGCCAGACUGGGACUGAGACUCGGCCCAGACUCGUACGGGAGGAAGGAGUGGGGAAUUUUGGACCAUGGGCGAAAGCCUGAUCCAGCCAUGCCGCGUGCAGGAUGAAGGCCUUCGGGUUGUAAACUGCUUUUGUACGGAACGAAAAGGUUUGGCCUAAUAAGCUGAGCUCAUGACGGUACCGUAAGAAUAAGCACCGGCUAACUACGUGCCAGCCGCCGCAGUAA